rnacentral:rRNA from 1 species
CCUACGGGCGGCUGCAGUGGGGAAUAUUGGACAAUGGGCGAAAGCCUGAUCCAGCCAUGCCGCGUGUGUGAAGAAGGCCUUCGGGUUGUAAAGCACUUUCAGUGGGGAAGAAAGCCUUGGGGCUAAUACCCUCGAGGAAGGACAUCACCCACAGAAGAAGCACCGGCUAACUCCGCGCCAGCAGCCGCGGUAAUACGGAGGGUGCGAGCGUUAAUCGGAAUUACUGGGCGUAAAGCGCGCGUAGGCGGUCUGAUAAGCCGGUUGUGAAAGCCCCGGGCUCAACCUGGGAACGGCAUCCGGAACUGUCAGGCUAGAGUGCAGGAGAGGAAGGUAGAAUUCCCGGUGUAGCGGUGAAAUGCGUAGAGAUCGGGAGGAAUACCAGUGGCGAAGGCGGCCUUCUGGACUGACACUGACGCUGAGGUGCGAAAGCGUGGGUAGCAAACAGGAUUAGAUACCCGUGUAGUC